GGGGGCGAAAUGGAUUAGACAUCUGUUUUUGAACUUAAUGUGCAUGUCGAGAAUGUAACUANCUCGUUAAAUGAAGUUACAAAAAAAUUAGUUGGCAAUAAAGCAAACUACGCUCUAGCCGCAUAAUNUGGCUAGCUUUCUUUAUCUAAUACCUAUUAGGGUAAAAGAAAGUCAAUUAAUAGGUUGCUCAGAAAAUUAUUUCUGUGAUUUUUCUGAUAAGUUUUAACAGAAUACUUUUUAUCUAUCCUGCUCAUCGGAGAGUUAAAAAAGGAAUUUAAAAGAUGAAUCUAAGCAUGUAGAGCUGAUAGGGAUAAAUUGAUGGACGCGGGUUCGAUACCCGCCGCCUCCACCA
rnacentral:tmRNA from 1 species